rnacentral:rRNA from 1 species
GUAGGUGGCAAGCGUUGUCCGGAAUUAUUGGGCGUAAAGCGCGCGCAGGCGGUUCUUUAAGUCUGAUGUGAAAGCCCACGGCUCAACCGUGGAGGGUCAUUGGAAACUGGAGAACUUGAGUACAGAAGAGGAAAGCGGAAUUCCACGUGUAGCGGUGAAAUGCGUAGAGAUGUGGAGGAACACCAGUGGCGAAGGCGGCUUUCUGGUCUGUAACUGACGCUGAGGCGCGAAAGCGUGGGGAGCAAACAGGAUUAGAUACCCUGGUAGUCCACGCCGUAAACGAUGAGUGCUAAGUGUUAGGGGGGUUUUCCGCCCCCCUUAGUGCUGCAGCUAACGCAUUAAGCACUCCGCCUGGGGUACGGCCGCAAGGCUG